rnacentral:tRNA from 1 species
GUACUCAAGUGGUUUAAGAGGAUAGUCUCCAAAACUAUUAUUCCUAGGUUCGAAUCCAGCUGCCU